UACUUCUUUAUGUCCAAAACU
ensembl:piRNA 21ur-1394 ncRNA